AUUCAGAGCCUAGAAGGUUGCGCCGGUGGAGAUGGUAGAAUGGUGAGUGCAAAUACCCCACUUGCUGCAGCAGCGAUGGCUCCCGCAACAAAGACUGGUAAGUUACCACCACCAAAUAAAUCAUCCAACAGUCCGCUGACCGCAGAAACCAGUAUCUGUUUAAGCAUUCAAGGACUAGCUUAUUAAUGGUACAAAUACAGUUAACUUUUUAAUGAAAAUGAUGUCCCUAUGCUUUUGGAAAUAGUUCAAAAACCUUCUCAUCAUUUUUCUUCCAUAGAUAAGUAUAUGUAUAUUCUUACUUAUCAUGAAUUAAUUAACUCAAUUUUUUCUUCUUUAACCUAGAAGGCCAGUGUUCGCUAUAAAACAUUAAUACUUUCUUAAAUGAAAAUUACUUUGUGAAUACGAAUUAAGAUUAUAUAAAACUAAAUUUAAUAGUUGAUUUUAAAUUUUAGCUUAUAUAAUGUAACAAUGUUGCAGUGGAACCGAACCUGUGGUAGCACUAUUGCCAUGUUUAAAACUCCUAGAGAAAGGCCUGUAAGAUUGAAACAUCCAGAAAAUGUCAGAAGGAUGCCUGAUAUGCGUAUAUAAUCCCAAAAUUAGUCUGAGGGAAAUAUCAGAUUUGUGAAACUGUUUCUUGGAACAUAACCUUUCAAGGAAACCUUCGGCCGGGAAAACAUAUCAUUUACCUUGGCCAGCACCAGAGGCAUUGGAAUAUAUGGAUGCUAGGGCGAAGGGGAUACUGUAUGUGAUCUGCACAAAAGGAAAAUAUACAGUUAACGGACUCCUUUGAACUAUGUCACAAAAUAAGUUAAUUAGUUUAUUACACUACACUCUUGGAUGGGAUGCUAAGCUACCUAUUAACCUCAAAGCUUAAGUUUUAGACAGUGGACAAACAAUGCAUAUCAAUCUUAUUAUCUAUGUCUUAGCCUUAACACCACAAUUAAUGUACAUUGAACUUAUUGGGCUUUCACUCUAACACAGGAUAUACCCAAUCAACUAGAUAAUCAGGCUGUACAAACCCUUUUAAUUAGGACUCCUCGUAUAUACAAGUUGUUAAGUAACUGACCAAAGUGUAUAUAAAAUUUUAAUUUCCUUGACGGACAGGGAGAAUGAGGGACUAACCGCUUGAGGUAUGCCCAACAAGGCGAAGAUCGUCAAGGCAAAAAUCUUAACGUUGGCUGGAGGCAUCAAGCUUCUGCCUUC
rnacentral:lncRNA from 1 species